UUUUGUAAACAAGGGUAUUUCAACUAUGAGGUUAUAUGAACCGAACAUGUACCCUUAGGGUGUUAGUACUUUAGAAAGAAAAAAAAAUUAUAGGUACAUGUCAAGUUCAAAUGAAUGCAUAGCCUCUUGUUUCAAACUCGCGACCUUUACCGUACAAUUAUGAGUGGCCACUAUUUUUAAUAUUUUAUUAUUGCAUUUUAAGUACUGCACACCUCACCCCUCCUAAUGCUACCAAAAACCCUCAACGAUUCAGAAAAGUACCUCAUGACACAGGUAAAAUUGGACUUGAAAAUAGAAAUUUACAAAUAUGAUAUUAACAAGAAAAACCCAUGAACACAAAAUCAACAACUUUUAAUUCGUCUGGAUUAAAAGAAAAAAGGUCAUGAUGUACAUGGAACAAGCCAAAAAAGUUCAUCAAAGGAAUACUGACGCUUUUUUCAGAGUACUUGUAAAUGAAACCUGGUUACACAGAAAACUCCUACUACUUAUAAUGGUGAAAGGCUAAAACUAUCAGAAAUAACUGAAUUAAACGUCCAUCAGUAAUAACAAGGGCAAAUGAUUGGAAAUUACCAAGCUGCAAUAUUAAUCAUCUUGCUCCGACUUCAAUGAAAAAUUGCACAAUGUAUUUAUUUGACCAUCCCAGGGAAGAUACCAUACCAACUGUUUUUAGUUGAGAUGAAAAAAGUUAAUGGCACGAGAGGGA